AUGCCUCGUCAUCCAAUUAGUGACGCGCAUGAAUGGAUUAACGAGAUUCCCACUGUCCCUAUCUACUGUCUAGCGAAACCACAGCCAAGGGAACGGGCUUGGAAAAAUCAGCGGGGAAAGAAGACCCUGUUGAGCUUGACUCUAGUUUGACUUUGUGAAGAGACAUGGGAGGUGUAGCAUAAGUGGGAGACUUCGGUUGACAGUGAAAUACCACUACUCCCAUCGUUUCUUUACUUACUCGAUGAGGCGGAGUGCGAUUCUUAUCAGAAUCACCCUACUUGCGCAAAGUGUCGGACUGUCUAUCAGGCAGUCUGCACGAUCCGAUUCGAGGACAUUGUCAGGCGGGGAGUUUGACUGGGGCGGUACAUCUGUCAAAUACUAACGCAGGUGUCCUAAGGUUGGCUCCGUCAGGACA
rnacentral:rRNA from 1 species